rnacentral:rRNA from 2 species
AGAGUUUGAUCCUGGCUCAGGAUGAACGCUAGCGGCAGGCUUAACACAUGCAAGUCGAGGGGCAGCAUAAUGGAUAGCAAUAUCUAUGGUGGCGACCGGCGCACGGGUGCGUAACGCGUAUGCAACCUACCUUUAACAGGGGGAUAACACUGAGAAAUUGGUACUAAUACCCCAUAAUAUCAUAGAAGGCAUCUUUUAUGGUUGAAAAUUCCGAUGGUUAGAGAUGGGCAUGCGUUGUAUUAGCUAGUUGGUGGGGUAACGGCUCACCAAGGCGACGAUACAUAGGGGGACUGAGAGGUUAACCCCCCACAUUGGUACUGAGACACGGACCAAACUCCUACGGGAGGCAGCAGUGAGGAAUAUUGGUCAAUGGACGCAAGUCUGAACCAGCCAUGCCGCGUGCAGGAUGACGGCUCUAUGAGUUGUAAACUGCUUUUGUACGAGGGUAAACGCAGAUACGUGUAUCUGUCUGAAAGUAUCGUACGAAUAAGGAUCGGCUAACUCCGUGCCAGCAGCCGCGGUAAUACGGAGGAUUCAAGCGUUAUCCGGAUUUAUUGGGUUUAAAGGGUGCGUAGGCGGUUUGAUAAGUUAGAGGUGAAAUUUCGGGGCUCAACCCUGAACGUGCCUCUAAUACUGUUGAGCUAGAGAGUAGUUGCGGUAGGCGGAAUGUAUGGUGUAGCGGUGAAAUGCUUAGAGAUCAUACAGAACACCGAUUGCGAAGGCAGCUUACCAAACUAUAUCUGACGUUGAGGCACGAAAGCGUGGGGAGCAAACAGGAUUAGAUACCCUGGUAGUCCACGCAGUAAACGAUGAUAACUCGUUGUCGGCGAUACACAGUCGGUGACUAAGCGAAAGCGAUAAGUUAUCCACCUGGGGAGUACGUUCGCAAGAAUGAAACUCAAAGGAAUUGACGGGGGCCCGCACAAGCGGAGGAACAUGUG